UUUCGAAAGGAACGCUAAUACCGCAUACGUCCUCCGGGAGAAAGCAGGGGACCUUCGGGCCUUGCGCUAUCAGAUGAGCCUAGGUCGGAUUAGCUAGUUGGUGGGGUAAUGGCUCACCAAGGCGACGAUCCGUAACUGGUCUGAGAGGAUGAUCAGUCACACUGGAACUGAGACACGGUCCAGACUCCUACGGGAGGCAGCAGUGGGGAAUAUUGGACAAUGGGCGAAAGCCUGAUCCAGCCAUGCCGCGUGUGUGAAGAAGGUCUUCGGAUUGUAAAGCACUUUAAGUUGGGAGGAAGGGCAGUAAGUUAAUACCUUGCUGUUUUGACGUUACCGACAGAAUAAGCACCGGCUAACUCUGUGCCAGCAGCCGCGGUAAUACAGAGGGUGCAAGCGUUAAUCGGAAUUACUGGGCGUAAAGCGCGCGUAGGUGGUUUGUUAAGU
rnacentral:rRNA from 1 species